rnacentral:rRNA from 1 species
AGUCGCCGCGGUAAUACGAAGGGUGCAAGCGUUACUCGGAAUUACUGGGCGUAAAGCGUGCGUAGGUGGUGGUUUAAGUCCGUUGUGAAAGCCCUGGGCUCAACCUGGGAAUUGCAGUGGAUACUGGGUCACUAGAGUGUGGUAGAGGAUAGUGGAAUUUCCGGUGUAGCAGUGAAAUGCGUAGAGAUCUGGAGGAAUACCGGUGGCGAAGGCGGCCCCCUGGACAAAGACUGACGCUCAGGUGCGAAAGCGUGGGGAGCAAACAGGAUUAGAUACCCCAGUAGUCCCUGUCUCUUAUACA